rnacentral:misc_RNA from 1 species
AUUUUUCAAGCAUCUUCUAGUUGUAUCAUCAGGAAGACGAAGAUAGCUGAAUUUUAACACAUUAACCAUGAUGUGUUCUAAUUCUUGUUCAGGAGAUGCAGCCUGCAUGUUCAAUGUUUCAAUCGCGUUGUUCCAAACAUCAACAUCAGAUUCAUCUUUCAAUGCCUUUGACAUUAGGAAGAUGGCAUGCGAAUGGUAGCAGCACAAGUCAACUAUUCGAGCCAGUGGUUGAAGGUUAGAAGAAUAAAUACUUUCACCAACAUUCUCCCAAAACAAUUUACACAAUAAAUUCUCUAGAUUUAUCUUCGAGUCCAC